ACCUCUGCAAUAGGCGAAAGCCUGACAGGGUUAUUCUGAGUGACUUUCGCUAAGAAAGUCUUUUGACACCUCUAAAAAUGGUGUAGAAUAAGGGGUGGGCAAGUCUGGUGUCAGCCGCCGCGGUAAUACCAGCACCCCGAGUGGUCGGGACGAUUAUUGGGCCUAAAGCAUCCGUAGCCGGUUCUACAAGUCUUCCGUUAAAUCCACCUGCUUAACAGAUGGGCUGCGGAGGAUACUAUAGAGCUAGGAGGCGGGAGAGGCAAGCGGUACUUAGUGGGUAGGGGUAAAAUCCGUUGAUCCAUUGAAGACCACCAGUGGCGAAGGCGGCUUGCCAGAACGCACUCGACGGUGAGGGAUGAAAGCUGGGGGAGCAAACCGGAUUAGAUACCCGGGUAGUCCCAGCUGUAAACGAUGCAGACUCGGUGAUGAAUAGGCUUCGUGCCUAUUCAGUGCCGCAGGGAAGCCGUUAAGUCUGCCGCCUGGGGAGUACGGUCGCAAGACUGAAACUUAA
rnacentral:rRNA from 1 species